AACGCGAAGAACCUUACCAGGGCUUGACAUGGAACCGACAGGCAUAGAGAUAUGCCCUCCCUUCGGGGCGGUUCACACAGGUGGUGCAUGGUUGUCGUCAGCUCGUGUCGUGAGAUGUUGGGUUAAGUCCCGCAACGAGCGCAACCCCUAUGUUCAGUAGCCAGCGGGUAAAGCCGGGCACACUGGAGAGACUGCCGUGGACAACACGGAGGAAGGCGGGGAUGAGGUCAAAUCAUCAUGCCCUUUAUGUCCUGGGCGACACACGUGCUACAAUGGCUCGAACAAAGUGAAGCAAAACGGCGACGUGGAGCAAAACACAAAAACGAGCCCCAGUUCGGAUUGCAGGCUGCAACCCGCCUGCAUGAAGUUGGAAUCGCUAGUAAUCGCGGAUCAGCACGCCGCGGUGAAUACGUUCCCGGGUCUUGUACACACCG
rnacentral:rRNA from 1 species